rnacentral:sRNA from 1 species
AGAAAAACCUUGCUGCGACUGUCUCUCUUCUGCCCCGCUUGCUCUUCCUUAGACCCCUAACUUAUCCGUCUAGCUACUGCAGCUGUUCGGCUAGUUCCUUGGGGAGGAAAAGGGGGCUGAAAGAGCUGUCCCCAUGCACUCAGGCAUGAAAUUUGAAGGACAACGCAGAUGACCUCGCUCCAACGUUCCCCUUCCAGUUCUUUUCCAGGAGCGAUGAGCAGAGGAGACAGGAGAGGCUUGUAGCUGGCAUUCUGGUAUUCUUGCUGUUGAAGUUCUGGCUGAUGAUAUAUAUAUGCUGAGGAUCGGAGUUAACUAACCUGCAUAUAUUCAUACAUAGUACGAGUUACUGGACUUGAGUGAUGCUGUUUUGUGCGGCGGUAUUUAUGUUUUUGCAGCGUUUCAAAACGCGUAAUUUUAUUUUUCUUUGUAUUUUGCGCAUUUUUCUUCCUCAUCUUUUUUUCAAGAGCAUACUAUACAACCAGAGACCAGAAUCAUAGAAUAGAUGAUAUCUUAUCAUGGUAUCAGGCAAAUUCCUGUUGCCAUUCUGGCUCAGGGAUCGAAAUCCUUGCCCUUGUAUCAAUUCUUUUUCUUCUUUUCUGUGUGUAAUUUGACACAAAUGGAAUCAUUCACACAUCUUUAGCUGUUUCAAAAUCCUCGAAAACUAAAAAAAGAAAAGAAAGAAAGAAAGAAAGAAACGUUGUUUCCCAUGAAGUCCUUUGUGCAGGUACAGGUUCGUGAGUCAUAUUAAGAUGUUCAUCCAUUCAUUACAUCUGGGCAUAACAAAAUAGUCUCGUUGUUGACAUUAUCAGGACCCUCUCCCCUUGACCCCUUUUGGCCCCUUUUCAUGUUGCUGAGUGGCCCUGGCGCUGAGUGGAGCAACAGCUGAAGAUACCAUGAAGUAUGGCAUCGAUAAUUGAUGCAAGUGAUAAGGGGCCGGCCCCCGCCCAUGCCGAUAUGUGCGUUGGGAACUUGGGAUUGGUGGCUGUUGUCAAUGAAAUGGCCGAAAAAAGGCACUUGAGCACUUGACGCGCAUGGGAAGGAAUGAACGGACAAUUCUGAGUGGUUGGCGGCAAGUCGAGGGUCACCUCUGCUGUCCUGAGGCUUUGGGAGCCCCAGCGGAGUGCAGGAUAUAAAACUGGGAAAGAUAUAGAGGGUUUGAUGAGGUUGGUGAGCUAUUCGAUUCGACUAAACCCUGAAAGCCAUUCAUCAUACCAGCCAAAGUUCUCCUGCCCGCCUUAAAGCAGAUUUACUCCAUUCAGGAUGAACAGGAAUGCAUCCCUAAAUGAAACAACUGCCGAGAUCUACGUCAUGUCUAAGAAGGAGAACUGAGCAAAUUAAAACAGCAAUAGCAUGCAGAAACGACGGUUCCUUAUUCCUCUCCGAACACUUGGUGUAGUUAUAUUCUGACACGUCUACAGUUAUAUUAUCAUGCAGCCCGCCCGCCGUUAUCGAUCCUUUUCCCCUAUCUAAUUGGUAGUGGCAGCUCCAGCGGCAACGUAACUGGCUCAUCUCCAUCAUGCUGUACUGCCACUCAGGCAGUGGUUGGCUCACAGCAUAAAACAACAUACGUACUGGCAGAUUGAGAGAACCAAGCGAUCGCCAAGGGAAAAUAAAAAUUACUCGUCCAUCCCGGCCAAUCAAUCACCACUUCCGUCAUCGUUCUUACUAUCAUCCAUCGUCACCGUUAUCGUUAUAUCAACCCCCUAUUCCGUAUAAAUUUCGUGCUUUAGGUAUAUAUAUAGGUCGGAUUUUAAAUCCAACCUAUAGCUCGACGCGGGCAACAUUCUUCGGAGAUAAAACAGGAUUCCAGACAAACCUCCCCAUUUGCUUUCUUACUUUCUGUAUCUCUCUGCUUUCUGCUUCCCUACCUAGACGUCCCGUUUAGAGAAGAAACUCGUAUCAUUCAGUGACUUUAUAUGACAAUAUUGCGAGCAAACAUAUCAGCGGGAAUUCACACCACCUUUUUUUUUUUUGGGGAUCGGGACGGGGGAAGGGCAUGAUAUAAUCUAGUACCCCCUGGAUACCAACUUCUGAUCCCUCCCCUCUUAUUUAUUCGCUUUCAUUUCAACUUUAUUGGUCCUCCGCCUAGCUAGAAUCACCAAAUGAAUUGAAAUGCGACACUACCCCUGGGCUUGCGUUUGAAUUUUGCCUGUACAUUUCCUCCACCUCUUCGCCCUACCAACCCCCAUUAUUCGGUCCUCUCCUUUUACCUCCCAUAUUUCCCCCUCUAUUUCCUUACUCCUAUUCCCUCUAAUUCCGAGACGAGAAUAUGUAGGAUGCAGAUUGCAUGCAUGCAUGCACGUCAGGUCCCAAUUGAAAUAAUUCUGCCAGAGCUCACGGAUUGCCUGGAAGCCUAUCGAUAAGGGGGCUGCGCGUCUGUGCAUGGGAUAUUGCUAGGAGGCUGGUGUGCUUAAAUGGCCUUUCUGGAUGCAUGCAGUAGCUAUGGUUUAGAGGUUGC